rnacentral:misc_RNA from 1 species
GGAAUUUAUAGCAUCAAAGCACAUAUCGAGCGAUUCUCCAUAAACGUACCCCUUCUUCAAUUUCGGACCUACCAACCUAACAACUUCAUCCCUAACUUUACUGUACGCCUCCUCAACCAAAAACGUGUAUUGAGUGCCUGAAUCAAUCAUCGUCUGUCCUGAACCACCAGCGUCCGGACGGAAAACCUUUUCGGAGAUAUUCAACCUUUUCCCGCCCAUUUUUAUCCCUACCAUACCAAGAGUGUAAGCUAGAGGGUCCAUAUUAGGCAUGCUUUGACUUUGAGGAAAAGUCAAAAGAUUUAUGUAUUGGAACCUAUGUGAAUUAGGAUUUUGACCUAGGUAAAAUGUUCCACUUGGCAUUAUUUUAUUACCUUGCUUAUGUGGCACACAAUAAGAGAAUUUUUGCACCUUAGCUUGUGAGACAAAUGAGUACCUCCCAAGAUUCAUUCCCAAAAUACCCUCCGCAUCGCGCGAUUCGGUCGCGCAACCUAGGAUCAAAGGAGGGGUAGUUUGGGAAUUUGGAAAUGUAAUUUUUUCUCUUACGAGAUUACCCUCAGCUAAAGUACCAUCAGCGUAGAAGUAAGAGUAGUGACAAAGACGAUUUUGGUCACAUGAUGUUGGAAGGGUAAAAUCGGGAAUU